rnacentral:rRNA from 1 species
GCGUUGUUCGGAUUCAUUGGGCGUAAAGGGUGCGUAGGUGGCGGGGUAAGUCAGGUGUGAAAUUUCGGAGCUUAACUCCGAAACUGCAUUUGAUACUGCCUUGCUUGAGGACUGGAGAGGAGACUGGAAUUCACGGUGUAGCGGUGAAAUGCGUAGAUAUCGUGAGGAAGACCAGUGGCGAAGGCGGGUCACUGGACAGGUCCUGACACUGAGGCACGAAGGCGUG